rnacentral:lncRNA from 1 species
CGUUCCAUCUUCAAGCCACGACCACGACAAUCUCCCACGACCCUCUCUCGAUUCAGAAAAACCUAACCCGAUUUCCAUCCACCGUAACACCAUCCUCACCGGCGCAACCUCCACCAUUCCGACAACCACUUGCCGCCGCCAAUAACGGCCUUCACCACUCUCUCGAUUCAGAAAAACCUAACCCGAUUUCCAUCCACCGUAACACCAUCCUCACCGGCGCAACCUCCACCAUUCCGACAACCACUUGCCGCCGCCAAUAACGGCCUUCACCACCGUACUCUCGUUCACGCCGUCGUACUCUCGCUCACGCUGUUGUGGAGGUCCGUUUUUCUCCUUCUCUC